rnacentral:rRNA from 1 species
UGGGGAAUAUUGGACAAUGGGCGCAAGCCUGAUCCAGCCAUGCCGCGUGAGUGAUGAAGGCCCUAGGGUUGUAAAGCUCUUUCACCAGUGAAGAUAAUGACGGUAACCGGAGAAGAAGCCCCGGCUAACUUCGUGCCAGCAGCCGCGGUAAUACGAAGGGGGCUAGCGUUGUUCGGAUUUACUGGGCGUAAAGCGCACGUAGGCGGACUUUUAAGUCAGGGGUGAAAUCCCGGGGCUCAACCCCGGAACUGCCUUUGAUACUGGAAGUCUUGAGUAUGGUAGAAGUGAGUGGAAUUCCGAGUGUAGAGGUGAAAUUCGUAGAUAUUCGGAGGAACACCAGUGGCGAAGGCGGCUCACUGGACCAUUACUGACGCUGAGGUGCGAAAGCGGGGGGAGCAAACAGG